rnacentral:rRNA from 1 species
UGUGCUUGCACAGAAUGAUUAGUGGCGAACGGGUGAGUAACACGUGAGUAACCUGCCCCUGACUCUGGGAUAAGCCUGGGAAACUGGGUCUAAUACUGGAUAUGCACCGUAGACCGCAUGGUUUUUGGUGGAAAGAAUUUUGGUCAGGGAUGGACUCGCGGCCUAUCAGCUUGUUGGUGAGGUAAUGGCUCACCAAGGCGACGACGGGUAGCCGGCCUGAGAGGGUGACCGGCCACACUGGGACUGAGACACGGCCCAGACUCCUACGGGAGGCAGCAGUGGGGAAUAUUGCACAAUGGGCGAAAGCCUGAUGCAGCGACGCCGCGUGAGGGAUGACGGCCUUCGGGUUGUAAACCUCUUUCAGUAGGGAAGAAGCGAAAGUGACGGUACCUGCAGAAGAAGCGCCGGCUAACUACGUGCCAGCAGCCGCGGUAAUACGUAGGGCGCAAGCGUUAUCCGGAAUUAUUGGGCGUAAAGAGCUCGUAGGCGGUUUGUCGCGUCUGCCGUGAAAGUCCGAGGCUCAACUUCGGAUCUGCGGUGGGUACGGGCAGACUAGAGUGAUGUAGGGGAGACUGGAAUUCCUGGUGUAGCGGUGAAAUGCGCAGAUAUCAGGAGGAACACCGAUGGCGAAGGCAGGUCUCUGGGCAUCUACUGACGCUGAGGAGCGAAAGCAUGGGGAGCGAACAGGAUUAGAUACCCUGGUAGUCCAUGCCGUAAACGUUGGGCACUAGGUGUGGGGGACAUUCCACGUUUUCCGCGCCGUAGCUAACGCAUUAAGUGCCCCGCCUGGGGAGUACGGCCGCAAAGCUUAAACUCAAAGGAAUUGACGGGGGCCCGCACAAGCGGCGGAGCAUGCGGAUUAUUUCGAU